rnacentral:rRNA from 1 species
AACGAACGCUGGCGGCAGGCCUAACACAUGCAAGUCGAACGCUCCAGCAAUGGAGAGUGGCAGACGGGUGAGUAACACGUGGGAACCUUCCCUACGGUCGGGAAUAGCCCAGGGAAACUUGGGGUAAUACCGGAUACGCCCUUCGGGGGAAAGAUUUAUCGCCGUUGGAUGGGCCCGCGUCGGAUUAGCUAGUUGGUGGGGUAAUGGCCUACCAAGGCGACGAUCCGUAGCUGGUCUGAGAGGAUGAUCAGCCACACUGGGAGUGAGACACGGGCCAAACUCCGACGGGAGGACGCAGUGGGGAAUAUUGGACAAUGGGCGCAAGCCUGAUCCAGCCAUGCCGCGUGAGUGACGAAGGCCUUAGGGUUGUAAAGCUCUUUUGGCGGGGAAGAUAAUGACGGUACCCGCAGAAUAAGCUCCGGCUAACUUCGUGCCAGCCGCCGCCAUAAGAC